GACGAACGCUGGCGGCGUGCUUAACACAUGCAAGUCGAGCGGUAAGGCCCUUUCGGGGUACGACGAGCGGCGAACGGGUGAGUAACACGUGGGUGACCUGCCCUCCAGCUCUGGGAGUAAGCCUCGGGAAACCGGGUACUAAUACUGGAUAUGACUCCAUGACGCAUGUUGUGGGGUGGAAAGCCUUGUGCGGCUGAGGAUGGGCCCGCGGCCUAUCAGCUUGUUGGUGGGGUGAUGGCCUACCAAGGCGACGACGGGUAGCCGG
rnacentral:rRNA from 1 species